rnacentral:tRNA from 1 species
GGGGAUUUAGUUCAGUGGUAGAUCACUUGCCUAACAUGUACAAGACCCUGGGUUCAAUACCCAGUAUUGCCA